rnacentral:rRNA from 1 species
GAUGAUCGCUGGCGGCGUGCCUAAUACAUGCAAGUCGAGCGAACGGACGAGAAGCUUGCUUCUCUGAUGUUAGCGGCGGACGGGUGAGUAACACGUGGAUAACCUACCUAUAAGACUGGGAUAACUUCGGGAAACCGGAGCUAAUACCGGAUAAUAUUUUGAACCGCAUGGUUCAAAAGUGAAAGACGGUCUUGCUGUCACUUAUAGAUGGAUCCGCGCUGCAUUAGCUAGUUGGUAAGGUAACGGCUUACCAAGGCAACGAUGCAUAGCCGACCUGAGAGGGUGAUCGGCCACACUGGAAAUGAGACACGGUCCAGACUCCUACGGGAGGCAGCAGUAGGGAAUCUUCCGCAAUGGGCGAAAGCCUGACGGAGCAACGCCGCGUGAGUGAUGAAGGUCUUCGGAUCGUAAAACUCUGUUAUUAGGGAAGAACAUAUGUGUAAGUAACUGUGCACAUCUUGACGGUACCUAAUCAGAAAGCCACGGCUAACUACGUG